GGAAGGAUCAUUAACACAAUAUCCAAAAACCUUGUGUGCACUGUACUGUUUUUUUACGUUUACUCGAAUUAACAAGUCCUGCUCUGCAGGAUACAAACUAAUCAAAACAACUGCUAGCAACGGAUGUCUUGGUUCUCGCAACGAUGAAGAACGCAGCAAAUUGCGAUAAGUAAUGUGAAUCGUAAGAUUCAGUGAAUCAUCAAAUCUUUGAACGCAAACGGCGCUCCUUGGUACUCCGGGGAGCAUACCUGUUUGAGCAUCAAUAUUAAUUUCAUAUCCUUUUGGGUAUGGUGAAUGAGCGUCAUGCGUUAGCAUGUUGCUUUAAAUGCAUUGCUGAGUCUACCAACCAAUGGUGAGGACCUAGUCCAGCUAUUGGAUCUGGUAACGCUCUUAAACAACAAACUUGAUCUCAAAUCAGGUAAGAUUACCCGCUGAAUUGAAGCAUCUAAUUAAGCGGAGGAAAAGAAACUAACAAGGAUUCCCUCAGUAAUGGCGAAUGAACAGGGAAGAGCUCAAACUUAAAAUCUGGGAGGUUUCCUCCCCGAAUUGUAGUCUAAUGAAGCGUUACCGGAGGCUGUCUUACGUCCAAGUCCUUUGGAAAGGGGCAUCAGAGAGGGUGACAAUCCCGUAUCUGGCGUGAGAACGGUUUCCAUACGGAGCGCUCUCCACGAGUCGAGUUGUUUGGGAAUGCAGCUCUAAAUGGGUGGUAAAUUCCAUCUAAAGCUAAAUACCGGCGAGAGACCGAUAGCGAACAAGUACCGUGAGGGAAAGAUGAAAAGAACUUUGAAAAGAGAGUUAAAAGUGCCCGAAAUUGCUAGCAUGGAAUCGAUUGAAACUGGUGAUCUGUGGGAGAGAUCUGGUGGUGACUUCCGCAAGGAUUUGCCGCUUACCUCUCUUCCAUAGAAGUCAACUCCCGUUACCGAUCCAGUCAUCGACCGCGGGGAAGGUAGGUAGGUGCUCUCGGGUAUCUGCUGUUAUAGCUCCGUGGUUGUGCUGGGAAGGAGACGAGGAUGUCGGUGUAACAUCGGUGUCAGGUGCUGUGGUGCACAUUACGUGGGACUGCUUGCAGUGUCAUGUAGUGUGUGCUUUACCACUUGGCUCAGAUGCGCGCUGCUGUUGACGUAACGGUUUUAAACGUCCCGUCUUGAAACACGGACCAAGGAGUCUAACAUAUAUGCGAGUAUUGUGGUGGCAAACCAACAAUGCGCAAUGAAAGUAAAGGCCGCAAGGCUGAGGUGUGAGCCCGCAAGGGUGCAACAUCGACCGAUCUGGAGGUUUUCUGAAAGAUUUGAGUAAGAGCAUAUACGUUGGGACCCGAAAGAUGGUGAACUAUGCCUGAAUAGGACGAAGCCAGAGGAAACUCUGGUGGAGGUCCGAAGCGGUUUUGACGUGCAAAUCAAUCGUCAAAUUUGGGUAUAGGGGCGAAAGACUAAUCGAACCAUCUAGUAGCUGGUUCCCUC
rnacentral:misc_RNA from 1 species